CUGAAAAGAACGGCUGCUAUGCCGGCCACUCGUGCCUGUAAAAAGCUGCUUUGGUGCCUUCUUAUUUGGUUCGAUGGGCCUGGUCUAGGGUGCAUAGAGAAUAAGUGGGCAAGAAAAUAAUAUGUUCUCUAUGGACCGGGAGCACACAUAGCGAUGUGCCUGUUUACCCGCAUACUCCUUGCCCCACCGUCCGAGCUGUUGGAGCCACUGUGUAUUUGAUAAAGAGCGUUACCACUGAUAUUUGGGCUCUCCUAUUGGUAUGGUCCCACCGAUCAGCCAGUAAUUGCCGUUGCCCAUUGGGUGGAUUUACCCUAUGUGUUUUGCGCGCCCAAUGGGAAAUCGACAAUAGUUUCUCCGUUUCCCCAUAGUGCUCUGGAACCCAUCAAUGCCACCGAAUGCCCUUCUCUCCUUUUCCCCUUUCUUCAGUUCUUUUCUCCUUUUCAGUGUGUGAAGUGUUCAGAGUGCUACAAGCAUUAUCCAUUUCACUCUUUGGUUCCUAUGAAGAUGGCUAGGAAUCAGGCUUGACGUCACCUACAGAUCGCCCGUAAAGCAAAAGGUAGGGCCUGGUUGGUUCCUUGCAUUCAUCCGUGAGCUUUGAUGGUAGGCUUACUCCUCUUCAUGGCGCCCCGGCGCAGUGAUCGAGGCAGCGAAGCCGUGCCUCGAUCCCCAAGACAUCGUCCGAAGCCGUGCCUCCGACAACAACACCUCAAGCGCUUGAGGUCAAUGCCGGUUAUCAGCGCUCGGCGCUUUUAGUUAUUUUCUCAUGUGAGUAACAACCUCUCCUCUAUUGUCAGUUACUUGCCAUGCAUGGUAUCCCUGGUUCUGACUGCUUGCCAACCAUCUCAGCCACUAUCUCAAAUUACUACCUCUAACGAUAGGAUUUUUCAUCCAUAUUACCCCUGGCUCUAAUUGCUUGCCACUUUCUCAAGCAUAAUCUCAAAUUGCUAGCUCUAAUGAUACGAUUUUGCAUCCAAGUAGUUAUUUUAUGGCCUACCCAAAUAUCUACCAGGAUUCACCAGUGUUAUGAGGGAUUCUGCAUUUUGGUACAGUAGUCGGAUGAGAUCAGCAGAAAGUGAAUCAACUAUAUGCUUCCUUGAAAAGAAAAUCUCCCAGUUUUUGUACGCUGAAGCUUCAUCUGUUAUGUGUUAAUUACAUAAAAGGAAGUGACUGCUAGGAGCCACACAAGCUGUGGCGGGCAAACUAAUACUCUUUUGAGCUGUGAGCCAGUGAGGCUAGAUUGAUUGAAUAUAUGUGGAGAAAACUGCCCACAAUAUGUAUUUUAGAACUAGCUGACAUUACCAACUAAUUUCUAUCAUGGUAGCACCGUGGUCAGGACAGAGCUUUGGAGUUUUUAGGUGCCCUCUAUGUAGCAACAAGUGCAAUGCAAAAUUUGAAGGUUCACGUCCACUUUAGAUUUCAGGUCGGUUUGAGGUUGUGUCAUUUGUGUGCCAUGAGGUUGAGCACCCACCACCUUGCCUAGGAGAUGCAACUUACUUUUUUCCUGAGUCAUGUCUUUGUAUCAAGCUAACUCUGUUAGAAUUAUCAUCCUCAUUGACUAAUGCAAAAGCAGAUUACCAGAUUUGGAUCUACAUUACAAUUGUGUUUCUGUGUUAAAAGGAUAAAAAUUGCUAAUAUUUAUCUUUCUUUCUAGUUUGCCUUCUACUCUAAUUGGUAUGUGAAAUGGUUGUUAAUAGACAGUGGAAUCUUUUUUUUUAGAGAAAUAGGUGUAAUCUGAUUAUAAAUGUGAAUAUCAAAUCUGAUGACUCCUUUUGUUUUGUCCACGUAAAAAGGAUUGGCUACUACCAUAGAAGGUGCUCAAGUUUGUCAAAAUUCCAGGAGUUUCUUGAAGUUGAUUUUUGGUUAUCUAUCAACCUUGUGGCUCUGCUUUCUCAUGUUAUAUUGUGCUAAGCAGCUACAUUGCAGUUCAAGAUGUAUUAUUUUAUACACAAUCUUUGGAAAUGUUUGAAUUGCCACUUAGAUUCAGUUUUCCUUGAAUGCCAUGACUAAAUGCAUGUCUUUAAAUAUAGCGGGGUAUCACUGCUUAGUUGCCAGACAAGAACAAAUAACUGAUAAUAGAACUUGCUGCACUGAUUAUUAUCUCAUCUUCCUAUUUUGUUUGAUAUUAGUUUUUUCCUUUCUAAAUUAAUGGACAAGAGGAACAAAACCAAAGUCAGGAGUUCUUUUUUUGUUUACUCUGUUUUUCUAUAUCAAAUUUAAGUGACAAUGCUGUGACACUUCUUACCGACAAUAUGUACUAUAAAAUGAUUAGAAAACCUAUCAAUUGACCUCCAUGACUAUCUUUGUACUUAAUAUUACUCUAAAUGGGAUAUUAAAAGGCAAUGAUGAUUUGCUCUAUUUUUUUUUCUCAAGAUUUGAAUGAAAGUGAAGUUAUAUACAAUUACAGAUAUGGUAACAUACCCUAUAAUAUCUCAAUAGAGCUUUGUGAAGCCUAUGCCUAAUGUUUGUUGAAAUAAUCUACCAUAUUCAUGUUUUGCCUACUUGCCCGUUGGCUAUGUGACUCUUAUUAUCUAGACUACUACCCUUCACACUGGUUAAAUUGGUCAAAAUUUUGCUUUGCUUUAGAUGCUCUUAGCAACUAUUGCAUAGUCAUGUUAUUUGCUUUUCUUUGAAUACUAUUCAAUGCUCUUCUAUAAUUGUAUGUAAGCUACAUAGCUUUUGAUGAACGGUAGGGCGCUGCGAAGCGCGUCUAAAGUCCUAGUGUGACCCUUAAGACCGAGAUAGAUCUUUCGAUCGAUCUGUGGCGCCUCUGCUUUUGUUCUUUGGGAUAGUGCUGACUUUGCCGUUGCCAACCGCGCGCUGAACAGUGAAAAGCAGGCAAACACAGACUAAUGGAGGACCCGGCCUACAAAGAUGAGAAACUCAGAAACAAAAGCAUUGAUUCUCCCAUGAAGACUGGCUGAAAAUUGUGAUCAAAUCGUAGCUCCAUCUCCGCCUGAAGAAACACGUACGUCGCCAUAGUGGCAAGCAGAUUUCACCGAGGCAAAUCUCGCUGCUCCUGCUGGAUUGGUUGUCGUAAUGUAGUUGCUUUGACUGUCAGGAAAAGUGUGUGCCAGGUUGCUGCCCCUACUGUUAUUAGGAUUGUUCGGUUCUUACUUUCCUGUCUUUAAUUUACUACAGUCGUAAUGUCUCAUCUGCUCCUUUUAUCCAUUGGAAAAACAAAAUAAAGGAAGAGUUGAAGAUCGGCCACCUUUUGUUUGUUUUAA